rnacentral:sRNA from 1 species
CUAUGUCCCCGCACCGGGCUACCAGCCCACCUACAACCCGACGCUGCCUUACUACCAGCCCAUCCCGGGCGGGCUCAACGUGGGAAUGUCUGUUUACAUCCAAGGAGUGGCCAGCGAGCACAUGAAGCGGUUCUUCGUGAACUUUGUGGUUGGGCAGGAUCCGGGCUCAGACAUCGCCUUCCACUUCAAUCCGCGGUUUGACGGCUGGGACAAGGUGGUCUUCAACACGUUGCAGGGCGGGAAGUGGGGCAGCGAGGAGAGGAAGAGGAGCAUGCCCUUCAAAAAGGGUGCCGCCUUCGAGCUGGUCUUCAUAGUCCUGGCUGAGCACUACAAGGUGGUGGUAAAUGGAAAUCCCUUCUAUGAGUACGGGCACCGGCUUCCCCUACAGAUGGUCACCCACCUGCAAGUGGAUGGGGAUCUGCAACUUCAAUCAAUCAACUUCAUCGGAGGCCAGCCCCCCCGGCCCCAGGGACCCCCGAUGAUGCCACCUUACCCUGUAAGUACUUGCUGAUGGGUGAGGGUCUUCCCCCCUAGUGGGGUCCCUCAGCCCCUCUCACCUUUCCUGCUUUCCAUCCAUCGUUCAGGGUCCCGGACAUUGCCAUCAACAGCUGAACAGCCUGCCCGUGAGUGGGAGGGCUGGGAGGGCCCUGGGUGGGGAGUGGGAAUGGUGAGAAUUGGGGUAGGGGGAGCUAAGAGGGGUUGCAGCCCAAGGUGUACUAACCCAGCACCUAGAGAAACGCCGGAGUCUAAUGGGUGUGUCAUAGAUAUCUGUCGACUCUUGGAGAAUAAUAUCGCUUCUUCCUCACUUCACAGACCAUGGAAGGACCCCCAACCUUCAACCCGGUAUGGCUUGGGGAAACAGAGAUGGAUGGUGGGGAGGGGGCACGGAUCUCCAGGGAAUCUGAGACAGCCAGAAAGGGAGUGGGCUGAGGGUUUUGGGGUGGGAGGUAGGGGAAGGGUAGAUAGAGUUCGUGGUCAGGUUUAGGGAGCAGAAGGAAUUGGGGAUGUUUUCCAGGAGGAGUGGGACCUCUCAGAAAAUUUGUUCUUGGGCUGGACGUGGUGGCUCACGCCUGUAAUCCCAGCACUUUGGGAUGCCAAGGCGGACAGAUCACGAGGUCAGGAGAUCGAGACCAUCCUGGCCAGCAUAGUGAAACUCUGUCACUACUAAAAAUACAAAAAUUAGCUGGGCAUGGUGGCGCGCGCCUGUAAUCCCAGCUACUCAGGAAGCUGAGGCAGGAGAAUCGCUUGAACCAGGGAGUCGGAGGUUGCAGUGAGCCGGGAUCGUGCCACAGUACUCCAACCUGGUGACAGAACGAGACUCCGUCUCAAAAAAAAAAAAAA